GUGUCAGCCGCCGCGGUAAUACGGAGGUCUCAAGCGUUGUUCGGAUUCAUUGGGCGUAAAGGGCGUGUAGGCGGUCUGGCAAGUCAGGGGUGUAAUGCCACGGCUCAACCGUGGAAUUGCCUUUGAAACUGCCGGACUUGAGGCCGUGAGAGGAGACUGGAAUUCCCAGUGUAGCGGUGAAAUGCAUAGAUAUUGGGAAGAACACCAGUGGCGAAGGCGAGUCUCUGGCACGGUUCUGACGCUGAGGCGCGAAAGCUAGGGGAGCAAACGGGAUUAGAUACCCCGGUAGUCCUAGCCGUAAACGAUGGACACUAAGUGUCGGCCGAUCGACCCGGUCGGUGCUGAAGCUAACGCGUUAAGUGUCCCGCCUGGGGAGUACGGCCGCAAGGUUGAA
rnacentral:rRNA from 1 species